UGAGGAAUAUUGCGCAAUGGACGAAAGUCAGACGCAGCAACGCCGCGUGAACGAUGAAGGCCUUCGGGUUGUAAAGUUCUUUUCUGCGUGAAGAAACGGACGGUAGCGCAGGAAUAAGUGUCGGCUAACUACGUGCCAGCAGCCGCGGUAAAACGUAGGACGCAAGCGUUAUCCGGAUUUACUGGGCGUAAAGCGCGUGCAGGCGGUCUGUUAAGUCGGACGUGAAAGCUCCCUGGCUCAACCGGGAGAGGUCGUUCGAAACUAGCAGACUGGAGGGCAGCAGAGGAGUGUGGAAUUCCGGGUGUAGUGGUGAAAUGCGUAGAUAUCCGGAGGAACACCAGUGGCGAAGGCGGCACUCUGGGCUGUACCUGACGCUAAGACGCGAAAGCGUGGGUAGCGAACGGG
rnacentral:rRNA from 1 species